rnacentral:rRNA from 1 species
AAACGACUCUCGGCAACGGAUAUCYSGGCUCUCGCAUCGAUGAAGAACGUAGCGAAAUGCGAUACUUGGUGUGAAUUGCAGAAUCCCGUGAACCAUCGAGUUUUUGAACGCAAGUUGCGCCCGAAGCCAUUAGGUCGAGGGCACGUCUGCCUGGGCGUCUC